rnacentral:rRNA from 5 species
AAAUUGAAGAGUUUGAUCAUGGCUCAGAUUGAACGCUGGCGGCAGGCCUAACACAUGCAAGUCGAACGGUAACAGGAAGCAGCUUGCUGCUUUGCUGACGAGUGGCGGACGGGUGAGUAAUGUCUGGGAAACUGCCUGAUGGAGGGGGAUAACUACUGGAAACGGUGGCUAAUACCGCAUAACGUCGCAAGACCAAAGAGGGGGACCUUCGGGCCUCUUGCCAUCAGAUGUGCCCAGAUGGGAUUAGCUUGUUGGUGAGGUAACGGCUCACCAAGGCGACGAUCCCUAGCUGGUCUGAGAGGAUGACCAGCCACACUGGAACUGAGACACGGUUCAGACUCCUACGGGAGGCAGCAGUGGGGAAUAUUGCACAAUGGGCGCAAGCCUGAUGCAGCCAUGCCGCGUGUAUGAAGAAGGCCUUCGGGUUGUAAAGUACUUUCAGCGGGGAGGAAGGUGUUG